UAGCGCCAAUCUGGAGGGUUUCCAAAUAUUAGAUAUGACUCGAAAUUGAUAAUUGACUUCAGUUCGAAACUUCGACUCGUGGAUAGUUUCGCGAUGUGACCAAAUUGAAAAUUAAGUUGCGGAGGAAAAAUGAAUUCCCUUUUUUGUUUGAUCGUAAAGUUCUUUCUUUCCUCGCUCUUGAUAUAUUCCUACAAAGGAUUUUUAACGUAAAUCUGUGUGUUCUCGUUUAUUUCUGCUUAUGAUUUGAUUAUUUUGUAUUCGUCAUUUUCGUUUCCAUUUGUGCGUUUGUCGUAACACCAAAUAAUAUUAAUUGUUUGGACGCUGUGUCUAUAAAAUUUUUGCCCAGUCCAGAAAGCGAGUUACAGAAAGAUUUUGAGCAAGCAAAUUUGUCAAAAUUAUUAAUAAUAUUUGCCGCGAACCAAAUUUUUUAUUUAUAAAAUCAGUGCCAAUGGUAUUGGCAGCACAAUUUCGUCUAAUUAAUUUAAUUAGACUAAAAUUUUGACUAUAAAUUUUAAAAAAAAUUAACAUUUGAUGUUGAAAUAUCUCACGUAUUAAAGUUUGAGAAUCAAAAGUGUAUUUUAGAUAUGGUAAAAACAUGCAAAACUUAUCUGAAUUAUAGGCCAUUUUUAACUCGGUUAUCCAACCAUUCAAAAUUUUAAUUUUACUAUUUAAUCUUUUAGUUUAUUUGAUUUGAGUCAGUUAAUGAUUCCUUGACUUCGAAAUUUAAUUAAGCUAAUUACUUAAUUUACAAGUUCAUAAAUUGUAUAAAAUAUACGAACUAAAUCUGUGAAAAUAAAUAAUGUAUUCAAAUAUUAAAAUCAAAAUACUGUUUACUGACUUAAAACAACCAGAUUGAAAGGUCGGAUAAUAAUAUUAAGAUUUUGAAAGAUUAAAUAACAGACUCGAACUAAUCUAUAUUUAAGAUAACUGCUAUCUUUUUCAAGGCUAGCUAAAUUACAAAAAAUCCCUAGUAUAAAUAUCCGCUUUUCAUUUUCCUUCCUUAAUUUUCAAAAAUCUAUAUUUUACCCCUCAAUAUUUCAAGUUAUUCCAUUUAACUCCCCUCCGUCUGAUUUCUAUCACUAUCCCAUCCAUUUUUUUAUAUUUUAUAUCAAAAAUAACAUUCAAAAUUAUAAAAAUAUACUAAAUUUUUUUUCUCUAUAGAAAAAAUAAAGGUAAUUUGAUCAUUUUGUUCUUUCCAUUAACAUCGUAUCCUUCUGAAAACAUUUCUGAAAUUUAAGAAAAUAAAAUAUAGAUUUUUGAAAAUUAGGAUGAAAAAAUAAAAAAAAGGUUAAUUUCGUCCCUACAAAUAUGGUGAAUUGCAAAUAUAUAUAUAUCUUUGCAAAGUUCAACUUUCAUAUGUUGUUCCUAUAAAAGUCCUGAUGUUUUCAAAUAUGCUUUACCGUUAGAAUUCAUUAGAAAAAUUAGUUAACCAUAAAAAAAAUACUUAACCCUACUUAAUUAAUGAAGUGAAUUGACCUUUUUACCCCUCUUUAAUUAAUAGUUGAAAUUUUUAAAGGAACAUAUUUGUGAUAAAAAGAUUAUAUCAUUUAUAAAAUAAACAGUAUUUGUCACACUCCAGUAAUUCCAUAUUGGAUUGGAUAUGAAUGGAAUGUGAUUGGGUAUAUAAGAGACUUAAACACUAAUAAUAAUAACUGGGUUUAAGCAUUUUGGGCCGGUGGUUGAGUCUAAUGAGUUAUUGUUGCUAGUGGGCUGGGUCGUUUUAUUUGGUAUCAGAGCAAGUUCAUUAGCCGGAAGUGUGAGUCUUGGCUGAGUCAGAGUCGGAAUGGCAGACUAAGCCAGAAUUGGUGAUUGACAGGCUAAGUCAGGGUCAGGAUGACAAGGCUAGCGAGACGAGUCUCACAUCGCCUCAUGAUCUCUUAGGCUGUGUGUGUGAUUGGACUGAUGAGGACGUCAGGACCAUAAAGCGGAGAGUAUGUCAUACCCCAAUAAUCCCACAUUUGAUAGGAAUAGGAAUAGAAUUGAGUAUAUAAGAGAUUUAGAUACUAGUAAUAAUAACUAAGCUUAAAUAUUUUGGGCCGGUGGUUGGGCCCAAUGAAUUAUUGUUGCGUUACAGUAUUUUACGUGUAACAAACCAGAUGGACAAAUUUGAAAAUAUUAGGACCUUUAUAGGGAUAAUAUUUGGGCCCAAUGAAUUAUUGUUGCGUUAUAGUAUUUUAAGUGUAACAAACCAGAUGGACAAAUUUGAAAAUAUUAGGACCUUUAUAGGGAUAAUAUAUGAAAGUUAAACUUUGUAGAGAUAUAUUUGUAAUUCACUAUAUUUAUAGAGAUCUGUAUGAAAUUAUUCUAAUAAAAAAUAAGUAUUUAUGGAAAAAUUAUGUAAUUUAGCUUCUUUUUUUUUAGUAAAAAAAAAGUACUUUUUUCGAAAAUAACCCUGUGAAAUUUCGUAAUUGCCAAAAUAAUCCUGUGAAACGUUUAUUUGUGAAACUGACCCUCCUCUCGCCACCUCAGCCGCCACAUCAGCAUUUCUCACAAAGACGGUGACUUGUUCACCGUCUUUGGGACGCAUCUUGAAAGCGGUGAAUGGUUCACCGUCUUCUCUAGGCGUGGACCAUUCACCGCCUUCUCAGCAAUUCCCCGCGUAGCUUAAGGUGCCUCGAGAAGACGGUGACUCGUUUACCACCUUAACAAAGGCGGUGAAUUGUUUACCGUCUUAUCUAGGCGUGAACCAUUCACCGCCUUCUCAGCAAUUCCCCGCGUAUCACCGCCUUCUCAGCAAUUCCCCGCGUAGCUUAAGGUGCCUCGAGAAGACGGUGACUCGUUUACCGCCUUAACAAAGGCGGUGAAUCGUUUACCGCCUUAUCUAGGCGUAAAUCAUUCACCACCUUCUCAGCAAAUCCCCCGCCCAACAGCCCAGGUUUGUGGCAUAGAUAAGACGGUGAAUCGUUCAUCGUCUUAUCUAAAGACAGUGAGUGGUUCACCGUCUUUAGUGCAAACA
rnacentral:lncRNA from 1 species